GGGGAAUUUUGGACAAUGGGCGCAAGCCUGAUCCAGCAAUGCCGCGUGCAGGCUGAAGGCCUUCGGGUUGUAAACUGCUUUUGUACGGAACGAAACGGCUCUGUCUAAUACAUGGGGCUAAUGACGGUACCGUAAGAAUAAGCACCGGCUAACUACGUUCCAGCAGCCGCGGUAAUACGUAGGGUGCAAGCGUUAAUCGGAAUUACUGGGCGUAAAGCGUGCGCAGGCGGUGAUGUAAGACAGGUGUGAAAUCCCCGGGCUUAACCUGGGAAUUGCAUUAGUGAGUGCAUCGCUAGAGUGCGGCGGAGGGGGAUGGAAUACCGCGUGUAGCAGUGAAAUGCGUAGAUAUGCGGAGGAACACCGACAGCGAAGACAAUCCCCUGUGCCUGCACUGACGCUCAUGCACGAAAGCGUGGGGAGCAAACA
rnacentral:rRNA from 1 species